rnacentral:tRNA from 1 species
GUCCCUGUGGCCUAACGGAUAAAGCGUCUGUCUCCUAAAUUGGUUAAUUUUGGUUAACAGAAGAUUGUGGGUUCGAAUCCCACCUGGGAUUUUUUUCUCAAAAAUUGAUUAAAACUCUUUUUUUCUCCUAAAAAAAUUAACAGAAGAUUGUGGGUUCGAAUCCCACCUGGGAUU